GGUGGCUCAGUGAUAGAGCACAUGCCUUGAAUGCAUGAGGCCCUGGGUUCAAUUCCCCAGCACCA
rnacentral:tRNA from 1 species